rnacentral:snRNA from 1 species
GGAUGUGAGGGCGAUCUGACUGCAACAUCUGUCACCCCAUUGAUCGCCAGGGUUGAUUCAGCUGAUCUGGCUGGCUAGGCGGGUGUCCCCUUCCUCCCUCACUGCUCCAUGUGCAUCCCUCCCAAAGCUGCACGCUAGGUCAAAGAGGACGGCCAUCCUAAUAGAGGAAGACCGUUCUUCGGUCAAGGGCAUACGAGUAGCUGUGCUCCCCUCCCUGCUAGAACCUCCAAACAAGCUCUCAAGUAGGCCAUUGUACCUAGAUAUUUGGUCGAACUUUAUGUGUCUGUCAAGAAAUUGUUUUUCAGAUGAUAUUAGAAUUUAAAUGAGUAGACUUUGAGUA